GUGAUCCGCCCGUCUCGGCCUCCCAGAGUUCUGGGAUUACAGAAAUUAUUCCUUUGUAGGUGGUACAAAGGAUCAGCACGGGAGUUUUGACCUGCUCCGUUUCCGACCUGGGGUGGUUCACCCCUCCUUAGGCAACCUGGCGGUCCCCUGCUCCAGGGAGGUCACCCUCUUGAUUCUGAAUUUAGCAUGGACACCUCAUGGGCACCGUGCGCUGCAGCCCAGAGCUCCCGGGCUCAAGCCAUCUCCUGCCUCAGUCUCCAAGUAGCCAGGACCACAGGCAUGCGCCCUGAGGAACAGAACAUGGUUUGGCUUCUACUAAGUACCCUUCCACAAGUACAUUUUAGCUUGUGGUCAUUCUCAG